GCCCUGAGGGGAGGGACCGGGGCUGUCCCCUUGUGUCCCCCCCUGACCCCUCAUAACCCCACUAUCCCUCCUGUCCAUUCGUGUCCCCCCCGUCCCCUCGUGACCCCACUAUCCCUUCUGUCCCCUCUGUCCCCUCGUGACCCCACUGUCCCUCCUGUCCCCUCAUGUCCCCCCCGACCCCACUGUCCCCCUCUGUCCCCUCGUAACCCCACUGUCCUUCCUGUCCCCUCAUGUCCAGGGACAUCAACGCAUCAACCACUGUCCCCCCCUGUCCCCUCGUAACCCCACUAUCCCUCCUCUCCCCUAGUGUCCCCCCCUGUCCCCACUGUCCCCCUCUGUUCCCUCAUAACCCCACUAUCCCUCCUCUCCCCUCGUGUCCCCCCCUGACCCCACUGUCCCCCCCAUCCCCCUCUGUCCCCUCAUAACCCCACUAUCCCUUCUGUCCCCUCGUGUCCCCCCUGUCCCCUCUGUCCCCCCGUCCCCAUCCACACGGCUCCCUGCAGAGCUGUGUGCAUUUUUGGAGGCUUUGGAGGCUCCGCUGAGGCCUCGCCGGUGCAGCGAGCGGGGAACUCCGCAAUCCACAUAAACACCUCAAGUGCCCACGGGAAUGUCACCCGUCCAUAAAGCACCUCAAAUGGCCAUACAGUUCACUGUAGCUGUUGGGAGAUUCUGUAAAAUCUUCACUUUCUUGUGGGAGCUUCUGUUCAGAACUGUCAACGGAACAUCACCCCCCACGCUGAAAUAGAUCUUUACUCAUCCUGCGGGAUGCUAAUUCAAAAUACUCAAUAUCAUUUUGGCUCAUACUGGCAGCAAAGAGAAGCAUGAGUGAAGGAGGGGGUUUAUGGUUUGGUGUGUGUGAGCGCUGGAAGGAGCUGCACUCGAAUGUGUUUGCUCUGUGAAGUUUUGCUGUGUGUAAAAUGGCAGUGCUGGGAGGCCCCACAGGGAAUUCCAAUUCCAAUUGAAUUCGAAUUCCAAUUAGCCAUCAUUAGGUCCUUUUGCCUUGUGAUGGGCUCCAGAAAAGCAUCAGAGUGCAGGGAAACAAAUGACUCCUAACUUAAUUAUACAACCAACCCUCGCUGUUUUAGGGUUGGAAAAUGGAAAUAUUCCUUUAGCGUUGAUGCAGUGAUCUUUGCCCUUUGCUAAGGAAUGAAUGGCCACGGAAAUGAGAGUUAAAUCCAACUUUUCUCCUGCUAAAUAUUUCCCAACACAAUUCACUGAAGCGAGAGCAGAAAUUCUACAGGCUUCUAGAACUGAAAACACUCUGCCAGGAUAAGCUACCCUUAAUAAAGCCCUGGGAUUCUGGCUGUGUGGUGCUGGAAUUCAGGAAAAUCAGCUGAUUUCCAACGAGCUGGGACAGCUCUCUAGUGUAUCCUGCCCACUCGUUCUCAUGGCUCGUUUCCCUGGAAUUCUGGUGUGCAUCAUUUGUGUAGUUCCAUCAGGAGGGUUCAUAUUCCUUACUCUCCCCAGAGAACAGAUGAAAUAAUUACAGUUUGCUUCUGAGCAACAUCCAACUUCAGUCUGAGAUCCUGAGGACUUGGAGAACUUCUGCUGCUGUGGAUCAUUUUGUGCUCAGCUUUAGUUUUUCUCUCUCCUCACACCGAGUCCCCACGCUUCUGAUCUUGCUGUUAUUAAAAUGUGAUGGGAAUGAGAGAUUUUCCAGCACUUCACUGAGAGGCUGAGGUGUUCCAGCAUUUGUCAGGAGUGCUUUUCAUCCCUGAGUGCCUGCAUGGAUAUCCCUAAGCACGGGGAACUUCUGGGAUCAUCUUCCCCAUUGUGAAGACCAGCCAUGAGCAAGAGGAGACAGACUGAUCCUCAGAGUCCUGGAAUAUCUUCUGCUCUCCUUUUUCUUCCAGGGCUGUUGACCUGCAGCUGACAAAAGAGACAAAACCAAAACAGCAGAGACAAAACCCGUGCAAAUCCACCCCACAGGCUGGAGGUGCAAUGUUUCCAAAACUGUCCAGGGAAGCCAAUGGUUAGUUGUAAAUUUGUCAACGUAAAACAAGGCAAUCGAAAUAAAAAGCAAAUAAAAGACUUCAAACUUCA